rnacentral:rRNA from 1 species
GGGGAUAACACUUGGAAACAGGUGCUAAUACCGUAUAACACUAUUUUCCGCAUGGAAGAAAGUUGAAAGGCGCUUUUGCGUCACUGAUGGAUGGACCCGCGGUGCAUUAGCUAGUUGGUGAGGUAACGGCUCACCAAGGCCACGAUGCAUAGCCGACCUGAGAGGGUGAUCGGCCACACUGGGACUGAGACACGGCCCAGACUCCUACGGGAGGCAGCAGUAGGGAAUCUUCGGCAAUGGACGAAAGUCUGACCGAGCAACGCCGCGUGAGUGAAGAAGGUUUUCGGAUCGUAAAACUCUGUUGUUAGAGAAGAACAAGGAUGAGAGUAAAAUGUUCAUCCCUUGACGGUAUCUAACCAGAAAGCCACGGCUAACUACGUGCCAGCAGCCGCGGUAAUACGUAGGUGGCAAGCGUUGUCCGGAUUUAUUGGGCGUAAAGCGAGCGCAGGCGGUUUCUUAAGUCUGAUGUGAAAGCCCCCGGCUCGACCGGGGAGGGUCAUUGGAAACUGGGAGACUUGAGUGCAGAAGAGGAGAGUGGAAUUCCAUGUGUAGCGGUGAAAUGCGUAGAUAUAUGGAGGAACACCAGUGGCGAAGGCGGCUCUCUGGUCUGUAACUGACGCUGAGGCUCGAAAGCGUGGGGAGCGAACAGGAUUAGAUACCCU